AUUGAACGCUGGCGGCAGGCCUAACACAUGCAAGUCGAGCGGAUGAAGGGAGCUUGCUCCUGGAUUCAGCGGCGGACGGGUGAGUAAUGCCUAGGAAUCUGCCUGGUAGUGGGGGAUAACGUCCGGAAACGGGCGCUAAUACCGCAUACGUCCUGAGGGAGAAAGUGGGGGAUCUUCGGACCUCACGCUAUCAGAUGAGCCUAGGUCGGAUUAGCUAGUUGGUGGGGUAAAGGCCUACCAAGGCGACGAUCCGUAACUGGUCUGAGAGGAUGAUCAGUCAACCUGGAACUGAACACCGGUCCGACUCCUACGGGAGGCAGCAGUGGGGAAUAUUGGACAAUGGGCGAAAGCCUGAUCCAGCCAUGCCGCGUGUGUGAAGAAGGUCUUCGGAUUGUAAAGCACUUUAAGUUGGGAGGAAGGGCAGUAAGUUAAUACCUUGCUGUUUUGACGUUACCAACAGAAUAAGCACCGGCUAACUUCGUG
rnacentral:rRNA from 1 species